CACCAAUAAUGUUAGGUUGGAGGUGUAGGGGGCUGUAAGCUUGCGGGAAAGAGUGUAAACAGAGGGGGAAAUUAUGGCACAAACAGUCAACUUAGGGGUGAUUUUCUACUGAACUGCUGCUCUGCAGAAACGAAAACUUUUUUUUUUGUGGCUAAAAACGGCAUAAUAUUAAUGAAAAGACCACUUGGAACACUUUUAAAAUAGACCAAAAAAUGAUCAGAGUGGGACUUGAAUUGCUCUCUUCUCCUGUUGGGUCCUCUCUUGCUCUUUUUACCCAGCCUACCUUACCGCAGCUGUUAAUACCCUGUCUGUAGGCACCGUACUUCUUCCUCCCCUCUCCUCAACCCCCCAUCCUCCUCUCUUUCCCCUUUGCAGAUAAAAUUCAAGGGGACUGCAGUCGGAGCCUUCUCAUUCCAACCCUCUCUCCACGUUAUGCAACCACCCUCAUUAUCCUUCCAUGCGUUAAAAACAAAAGUCAGCAGCCCAAAAGGAAAGCCCUUCUUCUGGCUGCAGCAGGUGCCCUGAAACGCCUUUUCCCACCGCCUCAAUAUUUCAGGAGCUUUUUGGAGUUGCACAAUCCAUCUGCAGUGGAAUCUUCCUGAAGGCUGCGACUUCUUGGGCUGCUUUUGAAGCACUGGGAUCCUAACCUUUCCUGUUCGUCCUCAUAGGUUGCAUGUGCCUCCUCAGAAUGAUGUUGCAAGAAUACAGCACUUCCUCCCUUCAUCCCUCUGCCUACUCUGAAUUCAGGUCACUUUUUCUUGCAUAACAGCUCAUUCAUAAAACAGCACCACACCUCGGGGAGCAAUGUAGAAGAACCUGUAAACUUAUAUAAAAUAUAUUGAUAGAGAGGCUUUUUUCUUGCUUGAUGAUGCAUUGAUUCUGUGCAGUGUGCAACUAAUGCAGAAACCUUUAAACAAGUGAGGAGUUUGUCAAGUCUUGUUGAGUUCAGUGAGUGAAUAUUCCCUGUUCAGGCCUGAAGAUUACAAUAUGAUGACUUAACAGUUUCUUGGUCUUUGGACUCGCAUAUGAGGAAAAAUCCUAUAGGAAUGUAUGGAUGGGAUAAAUUGAUUUUGGUCAGGUGUCAAAGGUUACUGUGUUCACAUCAAUGCUCAAAAAUCCUCCAAAAAGAAAUUUAUAUUUGUGAAGAAAAGGCCAUUUGCAAAUGAACAUUUUAAGCUGAAUGCUCUUUCCUACCAAAUCAAUUUCUAAGAAAUACAUCUGUCUUUGUGCCUACAUGGACAUUAGUCAUGGUGUAGCAACGGUGUUGCUUUUUUACAGCAAAAAUCUGUCAAGCGUACACUUGCUGCUUCCAUGAAGCCGAAGAUGUUGCCAAUUCUCCGGAAAACGCUCUAUCAUCAACACACUGGAAAACUCAAAGAGUUUCUGAGAAAAGAUUCAAGUUCCCCAAGUCAUGGACUGAACGCACCCUCACCAUUUAUGAGAUACGAACCAUCUGACAACAGCAGGAAUUUUUUCUCUAAUUUGUGGCGCUUUAAAAGGAAGUGAAUCUUGAAUUUACCCGACAGAAGAGAACAUGUUUACAGUCUUUCUGUUCGUAUUUGCUGUGCUCGUCCAUAGAAAACUUGUGCUUGUGAAUUAUUUUAAAUUAAAAAAAAUAAAAAAGGGACUUUUCUUCAUGACUAUUGUGUGUGCAUACUAUUAUUUCUAAAAAAAGUGAAUAAAAUUUUUAAAAAAGUAAGAUCUCCAGCGCAUUUAUGAAAUGGUGGUGGUAGGAUCAUAAUCAGUUCCAGUUUUGUUUCUUGAUUGUAAUAACUUUCCCAUAGAUUUUUUUUUGCUAGAUGAGACAAGGGAUUCUAAUUGAAAAGAAAAUCUUCCUGCUGACAACAGCAUGAAUGUUUGUAUCCAAUCUGUGCUGCUUUAAAAGGAAGUGAAUCUUUAUCCAACAGCAGAGAACAUGUUUACCGUCUUUCUGUUUAAAUUCGCUGUGGUCGUUCAUAGAGAACUUGGACUCCUAUCAUGUGUGCAUAAAAUUACUCCUAGAGAAGUGGAUAAAAUAAAAUAAAAAUAUGUGUAAGACCCAUCAACAUUUUCCUGUUUGUGACAUGGAGGCGGUAGGAUCAUAAUUAGUUGCAGUUUUGUUCCAUGAUGAUAGUAAAAAAAAAAAAAAAAAACAUUCCUGUAGAUUUUUUUUCUGGAUGAAACAGGGAAUUCUGAUUGAAGAGAAAAUCUUUCUGCUGACCACAGCAGGGAUGAUUCAUAUAAUUUGUGCCACUUUAAAAGGAAGUGAAUCUUUACCCAACAGCAGAGUACAUGUUUUCAGUCUUUCUGUUUAUAUUUGUCAUCCACGGAGUGUUUCUUUUUUAAAAUUGUCUUUCCCCUAUUGCAUCAUAAAUUACCUCGAGAAAAGUGAAUAAUUUUGUUUUUUUAAAGUGAUACCUUAAAACACAUUUUUAUUUUUCUAUUUGAAACAUGGGGGUGGUAGGAUCAUAAUUAGCUGCAAUUUUGUUCCUUAAUGAUAGUAAAAACUUCCCUGUAGGUCUUUUUCUUGACUAAACAGUGAAUUCUGAAUGGAAUGUUGCCAUCAGAAAAUCUGUCCGCAGAUUGACUCAAGAGUAGAUAAGAAGAGAUAAUCUUCAUCGGCAUGGCACAAAGCCCUAAGCUUUAUACUAGCAUGUUUUGGUUAGCCUCCUCACAGUCUGAUGCCUACAUUAAAGACGUUAAGUUACAGUUGACGACCAGGCUGAGUUCAUAUUAUGGAAUAAUGAUUGCACCGGGAUUUACAUGGUUGUUUUUAUCUCGUUUGGGGAGUUCAAGGGAAAAGAUAAUGCAAGGUUAUGAACGUAAUUAGUAGGUAGAAAGGUUGGGGGUAAGAAGUCGAAAAAUACUUUACUCAGACUGAAAACAGAACUAGGUCUGUCACAUCCCUGAAGACUACAAUGGUAGAGUUUAUUUAUCCAAAGCUCUGUUUGCCUGUGUGUGUGUGUGAAUGUGUAUGUGAAAAUUUGUUUUUAAUCUGAUAAUAAUAGGAAUGUUCAAGAAUAAAAUGCUAUUAAACGUUUUUUCAAACAUGUUUUUAUUCAAUUAAACCUUUUGGCCUAUUUGUACUGUUGCAUGUCUUUAAUUUGAUUGUGAAAUUGGUUUUGUUGUUGCUCAGUUGUUUCCUUUUCUCCUUUCACAGCUUGUGUUUUUUGCACAUUUCAGAAGAGCUGACUCAUCACAUACAGUAAGAUGGAAACCAAACUUCCACCAAAUUGUCCCAAAAACUAGCUUUGCUCAAUCAACUGCAACCAAUGACAGGGAUUGAGGAGGAGAGACCGGGAGUUUGAGCCCAACCUCCUCCAGUGUUAUUUUUUAAGACUAAAGCAAAAGCAUACUCAGUCUGAAACUGAUGAUUUUCCCACACUGGAUCACACAAACAUCUUCUGGCUUUGUUUAAGCUCCCUUCCCAUGAUUAUAGAGUGUCAGUGCUUUUGAUCCGACUGAAGCAGAGACACAUCAGUUUGUCACAAGCACUGGACAAGAUGUUGCGUUGUUCAGAUUAAUGUCACCAGUAAAACAUUAAAUACAUUCUUUGUAAAAAGACUUUGCCUCUUUUAAUGUAUGUUCAGAACUCCUUUUUAUGUUUUAUCAGUCGGUUGUUUUAGAUGCCCUGUCUCAUGCGUUGGUGUGUUGGGGGGGUGCGCGAACAAAAAGGACAUAAAAAAACUGAAUUGCCUGAUUCGCCUGUGUGGUGGUGCGAAACCUGGAGACGGUGGAGGGGGUGGCAGAGCGGAGGAUGCUGUCCAAACUGGACAGCAUAUUAGAGAACACAGAUCAUCCCCUACACGGACUCUUCGUUGACCAAAGGAGCGCAUUCAGCGACCGGCUUCUAUGUUUUCUAUGCAACUGUAAUUGUCACUUUAAAAAGUUAUAAUAAAUAAACAAAUGAGUUAUUUAACAUUAA